rnacentral:lncRNA from 1 species
CGCUCGAAUCUAACCAACCGACGCUGAGCAGGGAUCGGAUAAAGACGCGUUCUGUGGCAUCUGCCAAAACUCCCGACCACUCCGCUCACAAUUGUCAACGGAGAGACAGUAGCCCGCAAACAGCGGACACCUGACAGGCAACAGAAGGGAUAAAGCAAGAGGCAACAUAAUACAUUUAGCCGUAAAAUGCAACAGUCUUUGUUGGAUUAAAACAUCAUUCAAAGAUAAGCGUCGUAUAGGCAGUGAAACAAGGACGAACGCCGGUGCUGAAGCUGAACUGCGACUAGGGAGGUGUAGACGGGAAUACUCAAAAGAUCGAAUUUGUCUGAUGAGAAUCGCCAUCCACCAGAGACCUAAGGAAAUCAUGCACAGAACGAGCAGUAUGGGCUGGUGGCAUUGUCAUGCUGGAGGGUCAUGUCAGGAUGAGCCUGCAGGAAGGGUAC